rnacentral:rRNA from 1 species
AGUCACACUGGGAAUGAGACACGGUCCAGAAUCCUACGGGAGGGCAGCAGUGGGGAAUUUUUGCACAAUGGGGCGAAAGCCCUGAUGCAGCGACGCCCGCGUGCGGGAAGAAGGCCUUCGGGUUUGUAAACCCGCUUUCAACAGGGAAGAAGGAAUGAGAGCUAAUACCUCUCUGCCUUGACGGUACCUGUAGAAGAAGCACCGGCUAAUUUCGUGCCAGCAGCCGCGGUAAUACGAAAGGUGCAAGCGUUGUUCGGAUUUACUGGGCGUAAAGAGAUCGUAGUGGCUUGUUAAGUCGGAUGUGAAAUCCCGGGGCUCAACCCCGGAACUGCAUCCGAUACUGGCAGCUUGAGUUUGGGAGGGGUAAGCGGAAUUCCGUGUGGUAGCAGUGAAAUGCGUAGAUAUACCGAAGGAACACCUGAAGGCGAAGCGGCUUACUGGACCAU